CUUCGGGAGCCUCCCCUCCGCCCGCUCAGAGAAAGCAGCCUUGGGGAACACCGCACUUCCGCCUCCCUAGCGGGCGGCCCGGAAGAGGUCGCUACUGACCCAGAAGAAGAACCCGCAGUGCCCCGUCCUUUUCUGGUAUCCACUCUGGUCAUUGUCUAUGAACCGAAAGACGUCCUUCAAUUGGCUGGCUGACAUCUUGGAGAGGCCCGAUGUCUGGAAGAACUUUUGUGGUUCAAAAGUGUCUGGGUCUGAAGAACAGAGACUAGGUUAUCCUGACAAUGGAUCACAUUCUGUAUUUGUGCCCGAGUGGCGAAAAUGCAGGCUAUUAAAAUACUUUCCUAGCAUCUCUCCGUGGAUACUUGACUCACAAGAGCCAAGUCUAGGUGGUCUGUGACAUCAUCUUGUCACUGCCCCAGGUUGCCCUCUUCACUUGGUUCUGCCCACCUCCCCUGCCUCUGCUCUGUGUCUCACCCUGUCUCUCUUUCAACAAGCUGCACACCAUGUGUGAAGAACCACAUGAUUGCUGGGAGACUGUGGAUCCAAACAGGCUUAAGAGAAAAUGUGGGUAGUUACAGCCAAUUGAAAGAAAAAAAAAAGAAGAAAACUUCAACAAGCCUUAAGGUUUCGGUUCUUCAAACUAAGUUCAAGUGUGGAAGCCUGCUGGGGGAGGGGUGCAGCUGAAAUGAGGUAAGAACAGGAGGUUCUCGCUUAUGAACUGAAGACUUCCCAGAUGGCUGCUGGGGAGGGCUGCCUUCAGCGCAUGUUGCAAAUGUGUGAGGCUGACAUCAGUCUCGGGUGGAAAAACCUCAAAAGUCAGUGUCACUGAGGUGUUAGUUACAUAAUUUUCCUACCAACUUCUUGACUUGGACAUUGCCCUGCUAAAUCUGAAACUACACAUCUCACAAAAUGUGUCUGUGUCAACUUGUGUUGCUUUGACACAAGUGUUCCAGGCUGACCACAAACUCACCAUGUACCUAAGAAUGACCUUGAACUUCUGGCCUUCUUGCCUCCACUUCCUGCGCAGAGCGCCAUCAUGCACGGUGACUGCAGCACUGGGGACGGAGGCCAGGGCUUCCUGCCCACUAGCCCAGCACCCCAGCAGCCGAGUCACAGCCCAGCAUUGUUCUUUCUGAAAUGAUAUUUUUCUGUGUUGCCCCAGGCAGGAUGGCUUUGAGUUCACAAUCCUACUUCCUCAGCUUCCCAAGCUAAUGGAAUUACUGCUCCUCUUUCUUUCUUCCUUCAUUCCUUUCUUUCUUUCUCUCUCUUUCAUUUUUUGUUUUUGUUUGUGGUUUUUUUUUUGUUUGUUUGUUUGUUUGUCUUGUUUUUUAAAGACAUGAUUUCUCUGUGUAGCCUGGCUAUCCUGGAAUUCACUCUCACCCUGUAGACCAGGCUGGUCUCAAACUCACAGAGGUCCGCCUGCCUCUGCCUCCUGAGUGCUGGGAUUAAAGGUGUUCUUAAUUACUGUGUGUGUGUGUGUCAGUGUGUUUACCUGUUUGUAUGUGUUCAGACAGGGGUUGAGGUCCAGUACCUUUAUCAGUUGCUUUGCACCUUAUCUUUUGAGAGCCUCUCAGUGAACCUCAUGCCCUAGGACUUAGCCAGUCUGGUUGCCAACAACUUCCAGGGACCCCUGUGGCUCUGCCUUCCCAGUGCUGGAGUUAGUGUCUGCCGCCACACCCAGCUUUUUAAUGGAGGUUCUUAUUCUCAUAGGUGGGUUCAUGUGCUUUACCUGCUGAACCAUCUCCCCAGCCCUCCUCACAAAGGACAGUAGAGUCAUCUGUAUGCACUCUGCAACAGAACUGAAUAACUUUUUCAUUCAGAAGAACUUGAAGUUCUGUAUUUACUGAACUUUAGCCCUCCUGCCUCAGCCUUCCGAGCAGCCAGAAUUACAGGCCUGUUCCACCAAACCCAUCACAACAUUUCCUUCUUCUUAAACACUGGAUUCAACUUUGUUUCUCUUUUUUAAUAUAUUUAUUUAUUUUUAUUGCAAUAUAAAUUUAUUUAUUUAUUUAUUUUGCCUAUGUGUGUAUCUGUGCACCAGAAGAGAGCAUUGAAUUCCCUGAAGCUGAAGUUACAGACAGUUCCCGUGUGGGUCCCGGGAACUGAACCCAGGUCCUCUCUACAAAAGCAGUCAGUGCUCUUAACCACUGAGCCAUCUCUCCAGGCUCCUUUUUGCAUUUUUGCCUGUAAUCCUAGCACAUGGGCAUGUUCCACCAAACCCUGCUAAAGGAAUGGCCCAGGCUAGCCUCUUCAGCAUUUGAUUACAAUUGUGUGCUGCCGUGGUUGGCAGAAAAUGAAGAGAACGCCUGGACAUUGUAGUACAUACCUGUGAUCCUACUGUGCGAGAGGCAGGUAGAAGGUACAGCCUAAGGUACAUAUUGAGACCCUGUCUCAUUAAAACAAAAAGGAGAGGUCUAAAGGAGAGCUCAGGUGGCAGAAAGAAAAGAAAAGAAAGGCAGAGAGACCACCUAAUCAGAAGUGGGCCACUCAUGUGGCUGGUUUGGAAAGUAUAUUAUUUGGCCUUCCCUGGUUUGAUAGUAUAUGCUCAUGUGCUAAGAUUACAGGUGAAAACCACAAAAAAAGGGCCUGGAGAGAUGACUCAGCGGUUAAGAGCACUGGGUUCUUUUGUAGAGGCAGUUGGACAUUGGUGUAUGGAGCAGAGGGAGUCCUGACUGAAUGUAUAUUGUUUGGCAGGACCACAGCCAUGUCAAAGACCAAGGGCCUCAGCCCCAUAGAGUGGCAAAGCCUUCCCCAGGUGAGGCUCAAGAGGGAUGGUCUGAGUGCAAAUUCAGACUGUGUGCAAAAAUGUCCAGCAGAGCUUUCUCCCUGGGAAUGUUUAUGGCUGGAAGACAUCUCCCCUGCAGAGAUGGAUCCUACCCAAUUAGCUAAACCUGCCCCUUGCUCACAAUUUAUACACACAAAUUGUUCACAGAAUUGUAUAUAAUACCCCUGCCUCCCUGUCCAUCUGAAUAUAAUACCCCUGCCUCCCUGUCCAUCUGAAUAUAAUACCCCUGCUCCCUGUCCAUCUGAAUAUAAUACCCCUGCCUCCCUGUCCAUCUGUAUAAUAUCCCUGCCUCCCUGUCCAUCUGUAUAAUAUCCCUGCCUCCCUGUCCAUCUGUAUAAUAUCCCUGCCUCCCUGUCCAUCUGUAUAAUAUCCCUGCCUCCCUGUCCAUCUGUAUAAUAUCCCUGCCUCCCUGUCCAUCUGUAUAAUACCCCUGCCUCCCUGUCCAUCUGUAUAAUAUCCCUGCCUCCCUGUCCAUCUGUAUAAUAUCCCUGCCUCCCUGUCCAUCUGUAUAAUAUCCCUGCCUCCCUGUCCAUCUGUAUAAUAGCCCUGCCUCCCUGUCCAUCUGUAUAAUAGCCCUGCCUCCCUGUUUAUCUGUAUAUAAUAGCCCUGCCUCCUUGUCUAUCUGUAUGCAACAGCCCCUCCUCUCUAUUCAACUCUUUGUAAUAAACAUGCUAACUAUUGGG